ensembl:snoRNA
CCAGUCUGAAAAUGAUCUCAGAUGUAACAGUGAUCUAAGGUCAGAUACCUGGGCCUAAAUUAUCCUGUAGUGCAUUAAGCUAAUCACUUGCACAUAAAAUUGUCUUGUGAUAAAACACAUGCACUAACAAAC